GGGGGGGGGGGUAGAACUUGCUUAAAAUAUUUAGCCAGUUAAUAAAUACAGAGUGAGCUAUUGUUUUCAGAAGUUAGAUCUUAAUCCUGAAACUGUGUCAGUAUUUGAGUAUUCACAGGACAGUGCCUCAGGUGGAAACACUGUAUAAACAGCUCAGUCUAUUGCCAUAGCAGUCGUUUCAGACUGUUCCAGACUGUUCCAGAGUGACAGGCUUCUUCGUGUCUUUUUAGUCUCAUGCAUGUAAAGCUAUGUAAUGACUGUGUAAACCAUUAACCACAGUGAGUCAUUAACAGAAGAGACCUUUUUCUUGCCAUUUAUAAGUUAUUAUCCCUAAAGUGAUUUAUCAAAGAGAUUGGUCUUAAAUAGGAUUUAUAGCCAAUCAUUAAUCUUCAAAGUGCUUUAAAAUCUUAGAUGUCUUAAUAAUUUGUUCUGUCAAAGAGCAGAGACAAGGAGUUCUGUUGGAGAAUCACUCGCUUGAUACUCUUUAGGAAAGAUACAGGACAGCAGCCUAAACAUGAACUUGUCCCCACAGACAGUUCAGCCUCUGCCCCAUCUUUGCCCCUGGGGCCAUCCCCGAGUCUACUCCUGAGUCGGUUCCAACCCAGCUGAUUGAGUAUAUAAGCUAGGACACAGUGCCCCAGUGAGAUAGCUACAGGAGAAUGGCUUAGAUUCAUUCACUGAUUUCCUACCUAUAUUUCAACUUUUUAGGAAAAAAACAAAUUGCAACAAAGACAGUAUAAGGGAUUUGUUUGAAAAGGCAAUUUCCCCAGUGGCGCCUGGGUGGCUCAGGUCAUGAUCUUGGGAUGAGGAGAUGGAGCCCCGUGUCGGGCUCCAUGCUCAUUGUGAAGUUCACUUGAGAUUGUCUCUCUCUCUCUCCCUCUGCCCCUCCUCCCAAUCAUGGGUUCUCUCUCUCUCUCAACAAAUAAUCUUUAAAAAAGUAGGGGGCAACUUCCCAUAAAUACCAACAAUGAAAAUCAGUGUUUAGGAUGAUGAUCCUGACAUUAUAAAUAACGAUAUUCCUAAAUAUGGUGUAAUUAUAUAUUUAAUAAAUAUUUUCAACAGAAGCAUUUCAAACAGGUUUUUAAAAUUAUUAUUCCUUAUGCAGAUUCCUGCAUAAUCCUUAUAACACAGUUACUGCUACCUCCAACCUGGGUUUUACUGAAAAUGGCCUAAAGGAGUUUAUUUUCCUUCCAUAUUGAAUGAACUUAUUUUAUGAAAGGGAGAUUAUCCAUGGCCAAUUUUCUUCUACAAUGAUUCAAGACAGGAUAACAUAGCCAAAAAGACUCAUUUACUUCCUGAGAGUCCCCUUGUGGUAAGUUUUGCCUCAUUCCAUCCUUAACUUUCAAAUGUAUUAAAACAAAAGUUGUGUUAACCUUUCAAGUAAGACUGUAUUUGUCCAGAGGUUGAUAACUAUAAUACAGGAUCUUAUCAUGUACAAAGACUAUAAAGAAGUUUUCUCAUAAGAGAAAAUGUAUAUUUUACUUGUUUUAAACCAGUGGUUCUCAACUGGAAGCAAUUUUGCCCACCAGGGGACAUUUGGCAGUAUCUUGGAGAUGUCACCGCUGAAUGGGGGAUUGGGGUAUACUCCCGGCAUCUAGUGGUUAGAAGCCAGAGAUGCUGCUAAAUAUCCUAUAAGGCACAGGAUCCGCCACCCCCCUCAACAAAAAAUUAUUCAGUUCAAAUCAUCAGUAGUGCCAAGGUGGAGAAAAUCUAAACAAAAUGAGAUAGGUAACUACUUAAAAAGUCUAUUAAUUAGAUAUAAAUUAUGCCCAUAGUUGUCUCUGAAAAUUAUGCCCAAAUCAACUCUAAUAAACAUGUACUGUGUGCAUAAAAGCUUAUGAAUCCAUCAUGUUGUUACCAAAAUACAGUGCUUAAUAAUUUGAGGAAAUUAUAUGUACAAAUGGGAAAAACCAUGCACACCCAGAUGGGUAGGGAUAUAUAUAUAUAUUUUUUUAAGAGUUUAUUUAUUUGAGAGAGCAGCGAGAGAGAGCACAAGUGGGGGAAAGGGAGAAGCAAGCUCCCUGCUGAGCAGGAAGCCUGAUGUGAGGCUCCAUCCCAGGACCCUGGGAUCAUGACCUGAGCCAGAGGGAGAUGCUCAACCAACUGAGUCACCCAGGUGCCCUGGGAUAUGUUUAUUUUAAAAACAUGUUCUACCAUUAAAUUUAGUUUUUAUAAAUAUCACUUAUUUUGAAAAUGUUAAAAGUUAAAACAUGGUUUUUGAAAAUACAAUUUGUAUAUGACAUACUGCUAAUGUUUUUCACUGCAAAACUCAAAUUCUCCCGUGUAGGCCCACAUUAAGAUGUCUGAAAUAUGCACACCCUUACUUUAUCUUUCUGUUAUUUGAACAGAGUCCAACUUAGUAGACUUUGGCCGAUAUGGUAUAACACAAAUAGGGUUUUAAGAAGGGGGAUGGGAGUAUAUAGCUCUCUAGGUAGAUAACUGUAAAAUGUUGAAAUCUAACAUGAAGUCUCAUUGGGAACUGUAAUUUCUAGGCUCAGUAACCCUUCUACAGUUUAAGCUGGAAAAAAAAAAUCAGUUUGUUUUAGGACUUAUUAGCAAGAUUACCAGACUGAAAAUCAAAGAUAUGUUAUGCUCUUUAGAAGACAGAUGUCCUUACAAAUCAGGGGCCAUGCUAUAUCAUGGGCACCAAGGAACUAUCCCAUAUGAGGAGGAAACUAAUCCAUUGACUAUAGACGCAAAACAAACAAUCUGUAAUCAUAGACGUUGCUGUUAAUGCUACCCUUCUGUCUCUGAAAUUCACCUGUGCACUUUCCCAUUUAAACUCCAGCUGUCCCCAUUAUUUCUGGCCCAUAAAUCUUUAUACCACCCUUUUCCAUAGUAAGCAUGGCUAAGACAGAUUAAUUGAAGCAUGCAAUCUGAUUAGUUAAGAGGGAGGCUGAUGGUCCAGUUUAUAACUAAUGUGUACUACAUGGCUAGUUUGAGACUCAUGCUGGGGUUGCAGACAUUCAUCCGACAUUUAUGCUCGUAAUUUCAAUAUAACCAACAUUUUAAGCAGGUGCUAUGUGCCAGCCACCCUAGGAAGUCAGGAUAUAAACAGGAACAAAGGAGAAAUAGGACAAUAGAGAAAUAAAGUUUCCUUGAAUAAAUUCAAUCAGGAGCAUAAUUUACCCCCUGCAAGAUCCUUUGAAGGUUCUAAAGAAACUAGAUGGCUUAUUUGUUGACAUUAAAGGAAGGAUACUAAUGGCUUUAAGUCUUUUAUUCUGCUUUUGAAAGAUCUCAUCUCAUUCAGCAAGUACGUGUGCUUUUUUUUUUUUUUUUAAGAUUUUAUUUAUUGAGAGAGAGUGUGCAAGUGAGAGAGAGAGAGAAAGCAUGAGCAGUGGGGAGGGGCAGAGGGAUGGGGAGAGAGACAAACAGACUCCCUGCUGAGCAGAGAGCCUGCUGUGGGGCUUGAUCCCAGGACCAACCCCAGGAUCAUGACCUAAAGCAAUGCUUAACCGACUAAGCCACACAGGCACCCCUAGGUGUGCUUCUUUAAACACUGUAAGGGGAAGUAGGUGGAAGGAGAAAGGGGAAAAAAAAAAAAAAAAAACAUUGUGAGGAAACCUCUGUAUAUCACCAAAGAAGUAGCUGUAGGGAAUAAAUGUAUGGCUUACUCCCUCUUGAAAAUGUAUUUGAGGGUGCCUGGGUGAAUAAUUUGGUUAAGCACCUGACUCUUGGUUUUGGCUCAGGUCAUGAUCUCAUGGGUUGUUAGAUAGAGCCCCACCUCAGGCUCUGUGCUCAGGGAGGAAUCUGCUUGAGAUUCUCUCCCUCUGCCCCUCCCGCCAAUCAUAUGCGCUCUCCCUCUAAAAUAAACAAA
rnacentral:lncRNA from 1 species